GUCACACACACACACACACAUCCCAUCAGUGCCAGUGUAUACAGUGCAAUGUACAAAAUAGUGCAAUUAAAAAAAUGUCUAUACUUUAGUGGUUGAGUUCAUUGUCAAAGUUAAUUUCCGCUAACAGUUGUGUGAUGAUGAAUGAGAGGUGACCAAGUUUUUUCAAAGAAUGUGAGUUUAUCCCUAAGAGUAUAUCUAAUUCUUUCUACGUGGAAUGUGUUAGUAAGAUCACUAAGCUACAUCUUUGUGGUGGGUACUUCUUUCUUUUCUUUCUUUUCCAAUGCACAUUUACAAUAAGACUGUGAAAGAGGAAACAUUGCUGGAAGUUGUUUAGUUUUUUAACAUCAUCUGAAAUUCCCAGAGUAAUAAUGGGUGGUUUAGGUUCUAACUGUAUGUGAAGUAUUUCAAAUGGAUUUUUCAAAGUCUCAUGUUUGGAGAAAGUUUGGGAACCCCUGGUCUAAAGAACUUCCUCCUCUAAACCUCUUUCAUAUCUGACGCACGCUCUGAGUUCUGGAAACACAGAGACCUGCUGGGGGAAACCUCUCUGUCAAAUGGUGGUUAUGGUUUUUCUCACCUGGACCCUGAAGGCACCACAGAAGUAUCAUACCCAACCCUGAGCAGAACCUGAUCUUGUUCUGCUGUUACCUGAACAUACGUACAGGUGUACAGGUGUACAGGUGUGUCAGAUUCUGCUUCAGUCACAACAAACACAGGAACAAUGAAGCCCCACCCUGCCUUACCUGCCGCAAGUGUGGUUACCGUGACAACAAUCAGAGCAGCAGAGCAGGUCUGUUCAGUCCCUUCUGAUCCAGAUUUUAACUGUAACAAUGAGACACUCGAUGAAAAACUGACAGAAGAGGAAAACCAGGAAGAAGUUUAAACUAAUAGAAGAAGUGAAUGGAUUUUGAAAGAGAAACAAAGGAUUUAAAACAGAGGAGGAACUAACACAGUACUAAUACUUCAGUACAGUCCGUCAGUGCAGUUGGCAGGGCUCCUACAGGGGCCGUGGGGGCCCAAAACAUCCAGGACAUGGAGCUGAGGGAGGAGUGGCAGGACGACGGCUUCCCCAGGCCUCUCCCGGAGGAUUGUGGGAAUCCAGAAGAGGUUGAAAGUCCAACAAAUGGAGGCCGACCAGCCCCGCCUACCACUCUGGCCCUGUCAGGUACAGUCGUGGGUGGAGCUAAGAAGCGUCUGGUGGCGCCUACAAUGAACUUGACGCUGUGUAGGCGGGACUCUCAUGACCCGAGUUCUGACGGUUUCUCAGCCGCCGCUCUCUCUGGGACGGCUGAGGAUGCCAUUUCACUGGACAUCAACCUGGAGGCGCUAGAGACGCCAUCCGACAGCGAGACGGGGACGCUGCCUGAUGGGACUGAGCUCGAGUGGGAAGAUGACCUUCCCCGUGUGGCAAGAAGUGGAUCUGGGGCCAGGGCUGAGGCUGUGGUCAAAGAUCCUGGUUUAGAGGAUCUGGAUCAGGAACUGGACCAGGUAGACAGCAAGGGGCGCCGAUGGAGAAGGUUCUGCAUCAACGGACACGAGUUCCACGUGGACAUGAGCGUCCUGGAACCGUACCUGCAGGUUCUGUCGCACGGAGGUUAUUAUGGCGAUGGGAUGAACGCCAUCAUCCUGUUUACUUCCUGUUACCUGCCAGAAAACACAGUGGAGGACUAUGAAUAUGUUAUGGACAACCUGUUCAGGUACAUCGUAGGCACGUUGGACCUGAUGGUUUCGGAGAACUACCUGCUGGUCUACCUGUGUGCUAUGGCUCCUAGAAACAAACUACCAGCCAUCAGGUGGCUCCACCAGUGCUACACCUCCAUCGACAGACGGUUGAAGAAGGACCUGAAAGGGCUGCUGGUGGUUCAUCCAGCCUGGUAUAUCCGAGCCCUCAUCACUGUGGUCAAACCCUUCAUCAGUGAGAAGUUCAGCAGGAAGAUCCGCUUCGUCCAGACUCUGCAGGAGUUAUCAGAGUUCAUCCCCACAGACCGACUGCAGAUCCCUGACGCCAUCAGGCAGUUUGAUGAGAAGCUGAACAGAUGACGUUCACAGACUCUGAGGACAAACAGUAAAGGUCAAAGGUCAGCAGGCUGGUUGAGGAUCUGACCUUUGACCUGUCACCUGUACAAAAACAGACUGGUUUAUUUAUUUGUUCUCAAGGUUGAAGAAGUUAAAGACUUUUCGGUCCCUCUGCUCCUGGAUGGGGGGGGCGGAGCCAGAGGGGCGAGGCCAGGUGUCUCAGGUGUGGGUCUCUACCUGUGUCUGUAAAUACAAACAGGUUUCAUUUCCUGCUGAAUCAUGUGAUGAUGAGCUCAGGGAGCAUCUUCAUCUGUCAAACAGCAGCGCCGGGUGGUCAUCAGAGGAACUGCAGUUGAAUGCAGCCUGCUGGUUGGACGCUUUACGCACAUUCUGAAAUAAAAGCACUGAUCAAACAUUUACUACAUUUUUAUGUGUGUCUUUAAUGUGUCACCUAGUCUUAAAGUGUAUAAAAGAAGAGGAUUCAACUCUGCCUGCACCAAACAUUCUUACCAUCCAGAUCUGCUCUUACCCAGGUGUACUGGAUGUUGAAUCUCACCUGAUCCUAAAUGACACAGGUAGGGUCAAUUGUGUUUAAUUGGUAUAUAUGAAGCCCACUAAACACCAUGAAAGGGCAGGUAUUGUGCCGUGUGCAAACAGCUGACUUUGGGUCAGCAUUUUCAUAGAUGACACCAAAAAAAGGUAGUAAGAGAAAAAAAAAUUAGCAGUGGUGAAAUUGAAGUAUUUUUAAAUCAAAUCAAACCAAGGAAUCAUGUCAUCUUACAGUGUCAGUACUGACGUUCAUCACAAAUGAGAAACAAUGCUUUUAUUACUGUUCUGCUGCUGUUUGCUGGGUCAGUAUAUAAUUGAGGGACUUUUUGAGUUCCCUUUACAGGAGAACAUAGUUGACAGGCAUAUUUGCCAUUUUUGCUGGUUUCAAACCUAAAAUCAACAUAACCACAACACCACAGGGCAUUUUUACAGAAAGAUUCUUCUAAAUAUAUCUACAAUUGAGUAAAAUUGAAAUUGAAUUACUCAUAUGCAUAGAGGGCAUCCCAAUAGAAAUAGUGUCAGAACACACAUUUUUAGGAAUAAUUAUUGACAGUAAAUUAAGCUGAAAUCACACAUCAGGUUCAUACAAACCAAAGUAUCAAAAAGCAUUUCUAUCAUUAACAAAGCUAAACAUGUACUGGAUAAUAAGUCACGCUAUAUAUUGUUUUGUUGUCUGGUCCUGCCAUACCUAAUCUACUGUAUAGAAUUAUGAGGCAAUAACUAUAAAAUUACACUAUACCCUCUCUUCAUAUUACAAAAACGUGCAGUGAGAGUCUUGUAUAAAGUCGGUUAUUUGGAUCAUACUCAUUUAUUAUUCUUGCAGUCAAAACUAUUAAAACUCUAUGAUUUGGUAAAUUUUUACACAGCUCAACUUCUAUAUAAAGCCAAUAAAAAU